GCCUGGGUGGCUCAGUCGGUUAAGUGUCUGACUUCGGCUCAGGUCAUGAUCUCACGGUUCGUGGGUUUGAGCCCCGCGUCAGGCU
rnacentral:tRNA from 1 species